UUAACAAAUUGUGAUCUACUGGCAUUCAACACCAAAUUACUUACUUGCUGUAUAUUGAUAAAUGUGAUUGUAUAUUGUCAAUACCUCAACAUCGAGAAUACGUCAUGUGAGGUGUUGGUCGCUACGUUUGAUACGGGGUCAACGGUUGCGGCUUCGAGACAGAGAAAAACAUCCAGGGCAAGAACAUGAAAGAUAAAGGGGGAAACUAUAAACAGAAGAAAUUAUCAACAAAAUAAGAUUUACAGAGGUCAACAAAGCCUAAAUGGUCAGACAUCUCAAUUUUCAUGGUCAUCAUUCACAGAUCAAUACUGAACGGAAAACUUAAAGCUGAUAUUUUUCUCCACGGUGCGACUUUUUUAUUAAUUUGAAAUGGAACAUGUUUUUUCCUACAUUUAUUUGAAAGAGGAAAUUUCAACAUGAUGACUAUAAACAAAAAGGAGUCAUAUCAUCACGAUCAUAGUUGCACAAGAACUUGAUCAUAUAAAUACAACAAUGUAAUUAUCAAUUGAAAGAUGGAACGAAUGAACAAGAUAUUAGAAUGUUGUUGUCCAAAUAAACUUGCUUUGUCUUCUCAUUUGAAUCUCUCCAUUCAAUAAAGAUGUACAGAGGAAGAUCUUUGAAGAACAGAUUGAAAAAAUAUUUUGUCUAAGAAUUGCAGGAAUAUUCUAGUGAAUGAAAUUAUUUAUUGACUUCACUCUUAUAUAGUGGACUGAAUAAUUGUACAUAGCAAGCUGUGAAUAAAGAAAGCAAAAACUUUAA